GAUGAAGAACGUAGCGAAAUGCGAUAAGUAAUGUGAAUUGCAGAAUUCAGUGAAUCAUCGAAUCUUUGAACGCACAUUGCGCCCAUUAGUAUUCUAGUGGGCAUGCCUGUUCGAGCGUCAUUAAGUCCACUUAAGCCCUGCUUAGUGUUGGGAGACUGCUCCAGCGGUGCUACCCUGUAGCUACCCUGCAGCUCCUCAAAGACAGCGGCGGAGUUGUGGUAUCCUCUGAGCUUAGUAACUUGUUCUAGCUUUCGAGUACACCACUUCCCCUGCCGUAAAACCCUUAAUUUUUAAUGGUUGACCUCGGAUCAGGUAGGAAUACCCGCUGAACUUAAGCACAUCAAUAAGCGGAGGA
rnacentral:misc_RNA from 1 species